GUAAGGAAUAUUGGUCAAUGGGGGCAACCCUGAACCAGCCAUGCCGCGUGAAGGAUGAAGGCGUUAUGCGUUGUAAACUUCUUUUGUAUGGGAAGAAUGACAGGGAUUUAUCCUUGGAGAGACGGUACCAUACGAAUAAGCACCGGCUAACUCCGUGCCAGCAGCCGCGGUAAUACGGAGGGUGCAAGCGUUAUCCGGAAUCACUGGGAUUAAAGGGUACGUAGGCGGUUAAUUAAGUCAGUAGGGAAAGACUGUCGCUCAACGACGGAUGUGCUAUUGAUACUGGUUAACUUGAAUCAGGUUAGAGUUGGCGGAAUGGGUCAUGUAGCGGUGAGAUGCUUAGAUAUGACUUGGAACACCGAUAGCGAUGGCAGCUGACUGGGACUUGAUUGACGCUGAGGUACGAAAGUGAGGGUAGCGAACAGGAUUAGAUACCCCAGUAGUCC
rnacentral:rRNA from 1 species